GAUGAACGCUAGCGGGAGGCCUAAUACAUGCAAGUCGAGCGGUAGAGUGACUUCGGUUGCUUGAGAGCGGCGAACGGGUGAGUAACGCGUACACAAUCUACCUUUAAGAGGGGAAUAGCCCUGAGAAACUGGGAUUAAUGCCCCAUGGCAUCACGAGACGGCAUCGUUUUGUGAUUAAAGCUGAGGUGCUUAGAGAUGAGUGUGCGUCUGAUUAGCUAGUUGGUGCGGUAACGGCGCACCAAGGCGACCGAUCAGUAGGGGGCGUGAGAGCGUGGACCCCCACACGGGUACUGAGACACGGACCCGACUCCUACGGGAGGCAGCAGUAAGGAAUAUUGGUCAAUGGAGGAAACUCUGAACCAGCCAUCCCGCGUGCAGGAAGAAUGCCCUAUGGGUUGUAAACUGCUUUUANCUGGGAAGAAAGUCGGGAUUUAUCCUGAUCUGACGGUACCAGAGGAAUAAGCACCGGCUAACUCCGUGCCAGCAGCCGUACGG
rnacentral:rRNA from 1 species